AGAGCCGAAACUUGUUCCUCCUUUGUCUGGAGUGGACCAAGAAGUUCUGAUGACGAAGGCUCCUCAUUUUCCAGGGAUUGCUCCAAGGCUGGAGUUUUCCACCAGAACAACUAUCACUGAGUGUUCACCUGACGCAGAGAUCAACAUUUACCCCAACACACACAUGAGGCCAGUGAAUAGAAGCAGGAGGCGCUCCAGCAGACCACCUUCUCAGAAGAAACCCCCUCAACCCCACAGAGGGAGACUUAGAACAACCGUGCACCCA